GCCAAAUGUAGCCACAAACACAGUGACCUAUUCUUCUAGCUCUUCUAAAUCUUCCAACAGCUUAUAAGCAGCCCUCACCCAAGGGAGAGGCGAAAUUCAAAUAAAAGAGAAGGGAUGUUUUCAUCCUUAACUGCUGGAGUCCCUUCAAAACCAAGGAUUCCCUGUUUCUGCAGACGGUAAGCGGACAGCCUUUCUGUAACAAGGAAAACGUCAUUGGUCUUGUCUUUGUGUUGCUUUCACAGCUUUGAUAAACCUGAGUGUCCUGUUGAGGAAAUGUGGCAGGGCUUCCAGUAAAGGCCCCUAGGCUGACAUGCAGCGGCUUCCCUUCAGAGAACUGAAGUCUUCUGUUUCCUUCCGGCAGGAACCAGAGGUGCUUGGGAGGAAAACGCAGGAAUUCGAUUCACAUAGAACCAAAUACAAGAAUCCCAGGGGAAGGGGGACAUUUUCCUGAAAUAGAUGAGUUUCCCAUGACUCUGUGUAUGGUUUAUAAUUCACGUACCACGGCAGGCUGAACAUUGUCAUUUCCUGGCCCCUCCAGUGGUGGUUUUCCAGUGAGGAGAGCAUUCUGACUAACCGAUGCUCCUUUUUUUUACUUUGAGUCUUCAUGCUUGUGAAAGAAGGCCGACCUCGACUGCAGGGGGAGGGGAGGAGAAGGUGGGCUGCAGAGAAACAACGCAGACUUGGUCUUGUUAUCAAUCAUCUCUGGCGAUUGUGAGAGUUUAGCCUGCCCACACAGACCGGCAUUGGUGCGCAUUUUCAGCACGUCCUCAGAGCAUAAAUGAGACACCAGCUACCUUUCUCUCUGAUGGGUUUUUUAAUAUAAAUAUUCAGACCAAAUUGAAAUUUAUAGGAGAAAUUUGUAACAUCCAAACUUGAUGGUGAAAACAGGCAAGGGAGAUUUAUGUACUUUGUGUUUUUUAGCACACAAUUAUAUAUACUGGUUCACUCGCUCUUUCAUAUGUUGAAGCGUGUGUGUGUGUGUGUGUGUGUGUGUGUGUGUGUGUGUGUGUUGGGGGCUGGACUUUUUGAAUCUUUAGACAUCUAUGUAACUUUUUUGUGUGUGUGUGGAAGAUUGGCCCUGAGCUAACAUCUGUUGCCAAUCUUCCUCUUUUUGCUUGAGGAAGAUUGUCGCUGAGCUAACAUCUGUGCCCACCUUCCUCUACUUUAUGUGGCAUGCUGCCACAGCGUGGCUUGACGAGCAGUGCUCAAAGAGCAGUGCUAGGUCCGUACCUGGGAUCCGAACCUGCAAACUCCAGGCUGCCAAAGUGAAGCGCAAACUUAACCACUACCCACCAGGCAGGUCCCAGAGAUGUCUAUGUAAGUUUUAUUUGCUGUUAUACUUAAAUGAGUUGAAGUUCAGCAGAGGUAAGUAAAUGAACCUUCAGUUUGCUCUGGUUUUAUAGAUACAUCAAUCAUUUCUUCUCUUUUGUGUGGUUGCUGCAAAAAUCGUCUGUACGUGGAGGCAACAACAGGGCCCCUUCAGCCCUUCAGGAAGGCCCCCUGUGACGUGUGGAAAGCCUUACUGUACUGGACAAGAUCAGCUGUCUGUAGAUGUGAUAGAUGGUCUCUCUACGGGAUAGUCGGUGACCGGAUGGCUUACAGAAAUUUAAGAACCCCAGGCCCACAGAGCGAUGAGCCAACAGUCUCAGGAAGAACUUUUUUCACCGCUGGAGGAAAGCCACGCAUGAUGCAAUAUGUCAAGCAGCCUGGAGACAAUUAAGCCGGGUUUUCAGAGAACAUCCUGGUCCCGUCUGGGCUGGUGCUUGCCUCAAAGCCAUCCUCAUCAGCAUCAAGUUACUCAGGUGAUCCUUCAAUUUACCUGAAGGCAUUAGAGGAGUAAUGUAAAAAUUGAGAAGAAUUGAGCUCAUAAAGCGAUAAGUAACAUAACUCUGUGAGCCUAUUAGAGGGGAAAAUUGAAAAGGUUGCAGCCAAUUAUUAAUAAGCCAGGUGAACAUGAGAUGUCUGGAGAAGCGCUCGGACUAUCGCAAACAGAUUGUUGAUACGAAGAUGCUUGGAGCAGACGUGGCCACCUGGCAGCCCCGGGGAAGAGUCCAGCUGGG
ensembl:lncRNA